rnacentral:lncRNA from 1 species
UUUACGCUAAGGGCCUCAAAAAGGAUCGGGGCCUUUCAAAUAGGUUCCUUGCCGGCCGGUAGCGUCUCCGGCGAAAUCGCCGGUGAGCAGCGGCGCUACCGGGGAAAAGGAGGGCACGAGUGUGAUGUGUGGCUCACCGUGGGUCUUUGCGCUUAGGGGCUCAAGGGCGGAGGAGGUCCGGCGGUGGCGGUUCACGGUGGGGAAGAAACGGCGGCGAUAGAGCUUCUGCG